rnacentral:hammerhead_ribozyme from 1 species
AUCCAGCUGACGAGUCCAAAAUAGGACGAGACUUGAGUCCUGAAU